rnacentral:tRNA from 1 species
GCUUAAUUAGUUUAUUAAAAAUGUUAAAUUGUGGGUUUAAAGAUCAUUUAUUGAUUAGGUA